AAGCAAGUCUACCUUUUUAGUUGCGUGAAGGGAUCAGCCUGACUUGGACUUCUCCUAGAUUAUGGGCAAAUCCGCUAGAAAUUAACCCAGAAUCUAGCCUCUCACUGGCUUAUAAUGUGGGUUUAAAAAUGCGGAAGGGGAUGGCUAUAAAAGAUUGUGGCAGCUGGCUGAGUGUAGGAUAUGCGGAAAAAGUGGGCACUUGGAGAUAUCGCAUCUGAAUAGUACACACCUGGAGGGAAUCUGUCUGAAAUGCUGAGUUUUGGCCGCUGUACUUGGCACUGGACACAUUCAUCCCAUCAGAGGGGUUGAAGUAUUGUGAAAAUUUGCUGUUUGUUAGCCGAAAACCCUUGAUUUUCUACUCUUGAGAAUUCAGGGGUGAAGCUUUCGCUGUGCUGCCAAAUGCUUGUCACACUUUGCUUUAAACCUGGGAUUUGGGCAAAUGGCUAUUUGGCACUCAUAGUACGAUUGGUACGUAGUCAAUGGUAAUAUAAAGGUGACCUGGGUUUGCACCCUUUCCUCUAAAUAAUUUUUAUCGGCAGAACUCUCAGCACGGUUUAGUGAAAAGGGAAGAUUGGGUUUUCCUUUUUCUUUUUCAGGCUUCAGUGCUGUCAUGGCUCUCUGAGGGCUACCAGUAAGGAUCGAUCGUUAAUCACUAAAGCUAGUAAAAUAAUUUAGCGCUUAGGUGUGUAGUAGAAAGAGCACAGGAUUCAAAAGUGAGGAGACAAGUCUUUUCCAAUAAUCCUAGCUCUGACCUCAUGCUGGUCCUUUCCUUUCUCUGGGUCUCUUUAUCUAUCUCUGUACCCUCAACAGUCUUAUGAAAUAGCAGUACUGUUUUUCGUGUUUUACAGAUGAGAAAUUUAAGGGUAAAAGGUUAAGGAUUUGUCCAAGGUGAGUGGCUGAGAUUGCAUUUUUACACAGGAUAGACUCAUUGAAGUGGAAAUACUACAUCAAAGGUCCUUGGUAUUUACAGAUGUUGCUGCUGUUGCUACUGCUGACACAUGCUUCCUUGGGACAUGGGUGACAUGGAUGGUAGCUACCAGGUCAGGAGCCUCAUCCUCACAGGGUAAUAUCAAAUACAAUCAGAAAUCAUGCCACUGGUGAAGAGGCAUAUUGAGCCCUGUCUGUCCCAGUGUUAACUAGAGAAUUGGGAGAGGCUCAAAUAAGUAUCCUGUAUAUGGUCAUCAAAUGAAUUGUGAAGUCUUGAGUCUCAAUGCAAUGGAGGCUGGCCAAGCUGAGUGUGAGGAGGGUAAUAGGUAAUAAAAACAAUCUUUUUCCUGUUUGUAACCCCUCACAAGAUUGAAAUGCCAAGGAUGUUUUUGAAAAGCGUUUUAAAGAAGUCACCAGAUCUUUCAUGUGAGUGAACUUGUAGCAGAAGAAGGGGCUUUCUCAGCUUUAGGUAAUACAGUGAAGAAAGGCUGACUUUGCCCUGACCUCUGUGAGAGAGGCCCUUUGAAAUUUCAUUUCCAAAGCACAAGUAAAAAGUUAUUUCAUUGCCAUCUAACUUUCUGGACCAUUAAUUUCAAAGCCUUCAGGUUAUUCUAUACUUCCUUCUCAAAACAAUUGGGGUAGGUUAGAUGCUUACCCAUUCAGUGUUUGCCUCUGCUAGUACCAGAAGAACUGAAAUAGUUCACAAGUAAAUUAGGUGGCAUAGGUUGUGUGUCACAAGUAAUGGCAGCACAACACUAAUUGUAUUCCCCUUAGGGAAGAGUCUUUUCUUUCAAACCAGGCUUGUUAAAGGUUUUUCUUUCUCAGACUAUGGAGCUGCAUAAAUCAUGGCAAGAGCCAGUCCAUUGCAGAGGCUCAUUGUUUCAGUGGCAGCCAAAUUCAUGGUACUUUGGAUUGGUAAUUUCAAAGCCAAUUAGGAUAGCAUUUAGUUUUGGUUCUUCAAGUGUCAGUCCCCUAUGGACUUUAGGGAGCACUGAAAGUGUUUGUAAUUACACUAGGAAAUAUCUAUAAAAUGACCUUUCUUAAAGAAUCUCUGCAAAGGCCACCUCUACCUUAAGUUAGUAGUGCCCCCAUCCAGAAGCCAAUUCAUGAGGCCCAGACCACUCCUUAGCCUCUGCCAUUCUUCAUAGAAGUAAUAAAAGUCUAUUAUUUUCCAUGAGGUUGGUAUUGAAAAUGGCAUAACAUUCUGAGAUAGCUCUGGAGCAAUUAGGUCAUCCUUACUGGCAGAUAUUAAGUAGAUAAAGCCAGUUCAGGGAAUCCAAAUAAUGGAAAAGAUGGCUUUUCCCUUAGGAGAAGCACCAAGGGUGCUAUAUGCCUAGAGUAGUCACUGAUACAAAGGGAAUGUCUGCAUUUCUUGCCCCCCCACCACCACAAUCUAUUUUAAAAUGACAUCAUGUGUAAGGAAAUAAAGGUUAGCAUGUUGUUAAAAUUAAAAAAAGUCCUCUGUAAGUCGAUCUAUAUGGGCCGAAAUGGGUGGAAUAAAUCAGGCUUUUGCUUUCUUUCCCUUGCUUCUCCCCUAUGCCUGUUAUCUGUCCUGCUUUUCUUUGUGACAGCAGUUCUGUUGCUUUCUCUCAGCAGUAAUUGAAAAGUAGGAUUUGUUCACAUUUUACAGAUAAUAAAACUGAGAAUCAGAGAGGUUGAGUUAUCAACGUAAUACAGGGAGUCAGUGGUGGAGCUGUGUGUGUCACAUUCCAAAGAUCUUAACUUCAGUGUACUUGCACUAGAAUGUGGCAAGCACAUUUUAAGGUGUUGAAACUGCCUCGUUCUGGGGUCCUUGUCACUGUUUUUUAUCCACGACAUUGUGGCAUAUAUAAAAGGUUCAUUCUUUUUUUAGAAAAAUUUCUGGUCUCAGAUUUAUUUUUUAUUUCAAUUUCAAAGCCAUUUUUUAAGCCACUGUCUUAAACGCAGUCUCUCAGUUUCUCCAGCUAAAUACUCUCUAUGUGGUGUUGGAGUCCCUGCCCAGCCAGUGGAACCCUGGAAGUGUUCUUGGCAUGUUUUCUGUCCUUUCUCUAGUGUUUUUCAUGUAGGACAAUUUUGUUCUUUUUCUCCUACUCCACCAUCUUCCUGGAAGUCCUCAAAACGCUCAUUCUUGAGAGAAGAUACAGAUGCCAGAGAAGAGGCCACAGGUGAUGAGAUAAUGUCCUGGGAUUGGGAAGGGCUGCUGGAAUUUCCAUGCCACACCCUUAACUCUAGGCUGUGCACACUGCAGGCUUCUGUGGAGGAAGAGUGGAUGCUGUCACAAGCCUGCCAAAUCCCAGAUUCCCUUACAGAAGGUCUCAGACACGGAGCUGCAAAGGAUCAUCUCCCCAGCCAAUUGCCAAGAUGGAUGGAUGAGGCAUGGAAAGCUGCUGCACUCUGCAUUUGUCUGUCUGCUCCAACCACCAGUUCCCAGCAUGAGGGCUCUCAGCUAUGGCUCCAUGAAGGGUUAUCACUCGAGCCAAGUGCUGAGGACUGUGCCUGGGACAUGGAAGACUGCUCCCCUCUGCGUUCAUUAGCUGGCUUCAGCUGCCCAUUCCCUGGCAGCAUUCUGGGCUAAACUCUCACCAGUCUUAAAUGUCAGCUUUUCCAAGUACAGUCAAUAUGGGUGUGAAGUCCCUGGCAAGCUGGUGGAACCCUGGAAUUGCUGUUCAUGAGUGCUUUCUGUCCUUUAUCUAGUGUUUUUCACAGAGAAAACUUUUGCUCUGUCUCCCCUAAUCCACCAUCUUGCCGGAAGCCAGUUCCAUUUCUAAAUAGCACAUUAAAAUGUGUUUUUGGGAAUCUCUCCUUCAUUUUCUUAAUGCAAUUUUAUUGAGAUAUAUUCAUAUACCAUAAAGUCAUCAAAAGUGUCCAGUCAGUUCACAG